GAGACCAUUGGUUGAAGACCCCAGAGGAGGCUUUGCUGCGCUAAAAGUGUAUCCAUUGUGUCUGUAUUGUGCUACACACUUCACUGGGAGAACAACUCCAGCCAAGUGGAGAGCAGCUUGACCAGGGAAGACGUGGAAAGGAAGGAAGAGGAAAUUAAGAGCAAGGGAGGAGUGGCAGCCAGGCUGGCCAACUUCAGGAGAAGAACUGGAGCUGCCAGACCCAGCAGGGUUUAUGAUGCUUCCACCAUGCUGCCUGCUAAACUCCUCAGUGCCAUGUGGGAGACCAUGGACACCCUCAGUGUGCAGCAGCCGAUGACUGGCCUCCUGUUUCCUUGACCUCCACACGAAUUACUGUAGAUUGGCUUUGUAAGCCCUGGAAGGAAGACUCACAGCCUAUCCACCUGCUUACGUCCCAGGAAAAGGGGGAAGGAAACGAGACUGGGAGGAAGAGAAGCCCCUCUCCUGCGGCCCCCAGAACCAGCUGAGCGGGGCAGCCG